rnacentral:rRNA from 1 species
GAUGAACGCUGGCGGCGUGCCUAACACAUGCAAGUCGAGCGGAGAAUUGUUGCUUGCAACACUUCUUAGCGGCGGACGGGUGAGUAACACGUGGGUAACCUGCCCUAAACAAAGGGAUAACAAUGAGAAAUCAUUGCUAAUACCGUAUAAGCUUACACUAUCGCAUGAUAGAGUAAGAAAAGAUUUAUCGGUUUAGGAGGGGCCCGCGUCUGAUUAGCUAGUUGGAGAGGUAACGGCUCACCAAGGCGACGAUCAGUAGCCGACCUGAGAGGGUGAUCGGCCACAUUGGGACUGAGACACGGCCCAAACUCCUACGGGAGGCAGCAGGGGGGAAUAUUGCACAAUGGAGGAAACUCUGAUGCAGCAACGCCGCGUGAAGGAAGAAGGUUUUCGGAUCGUAAACGUCUAUCUACAGGGAAGAAAAAAAUGACGGUACCUGAGUAAGAAGCCCCGGCUAACUACGUG